GAAAGGGACGAAAAUCAUUCACGCCCUCCAACAGUUCCAGACUCUGAUUGUGCACCGCCAACUCGCGAACCAAGUGCUAUUUCAGCACCUGCAGGAGAUGAACGAAGCGAGAUGGGUCCUUUGGUCCGAAAGAGUUUCAGCAGCUAGGCAGUUGCAACACACGUUAAGUACUUCCAUGUGCCUCCUUAUGCUGGGAUUUUGUUAGACAGUUCAACAUUGUCGUACAAAACGAAGGAGACGUCAUUAACGGAGUUACAGAUUUGGGUGUCUUUAGUGAAACAAAACCGGAUUGUUUUAACUUUGUAUAGUUGUAAACAUAAAACAAUCUCUGGGAUAGAGCCAUAGCUUUUGAAAGACAAUCCUUAAGGAUGGCAUACCAACAUUCCCAAUUUUUUCCAUGUAACAUAUGAACGUAAAUAGCAC